GGGGCUGUAGCGCAGUUGGUAGCGCGCUUCGUUCGCAUCGAAGAGGUCCGGGGUUCGAUUCCCCGCAGCUCCACCA
rnacentral:tRNA from 8 species